rnacentral:snoRNA from 1 species
UCUUAUGAUGAUUUACUCUAUUUAUCACGACGGUCAACCUAGCUUCUAGCCUUGAUGACCACAGCCUGUGACAGGGCUUUGAUCUGAUC